GAAUGAACUGAGCUACCUCUCUAUUGCCUAUUGAUCACCGGCAUAGAUUUGACUGUUCUGGCUGGCUGGGCAGGUAUCCCCUUCCUCCCUCACCACUUCAUGUGUGUCCCUUUGGAAGCUAUGUACUGGGUCAAAGAGAACAACCUCCUUCAUCGAGAAGAACUUUCCAGCACUCCA
rnacentral:snRNA from 1 species